UACGUAGGGUGCAAGCGUUGUCCGGAAUUAUUGGGCGUAAAGAGCUCGUAGGCGGCUUGUUACGUCUGCUGUGAAAACUCGGGGCUCAACCCCGAGCCUGCAGUGGAUACGGGCUAGCUAGAGUGCGGUAGGGGAGACUGGAAUUCCUGGUGUAGCGGUGAAAUGCGCAGAUAUCAGGAGGAACACCGGUGGCGAAGGCGGGUCUCUGGCCCGAUACUGACGCUGAGGCACGAAAGCGUGGGGAGCAAACAGG
rnacentral:rRNA from 1 species